rnacentral:rRNA from 1 species
GACGAACGCUGGCGGCGUGCUUAACACAUGCAAGUCGAACGGAGCGAAUGAAAGCUUGCUUUUAUAAGCUUAGUGGCAAACGGGUGAGUAACACGUAGAUAACCUGCCGACAGGAUGGGGACAACAUUCCGAAAGGAAUGCUAAUACCGAAUGAAGCGCAGGAGAGGCAUCUCUCCUGCGUGAAAGAUGGCCUCUAUAUAUAAGCUAUCACCUGUUGAUGGGUCUGCGUCUGAUUAGCUGGUAGGUGAGGUAACGGCUCACCUAGGCGACGAUCAGUAGCCGGUCUGAGAGGAUGAACGGCCACAUUGGGACUGAGACACGGCCCAGACUCCUACGGGAGGCAGCAGUGGGGAAUCUUCCGCAAUGGGCGCAAGCCUGACGGAGCAACGCCGCGUGAGUGAAGAAGGUCUUCGGAUCGUAAAGCUCUGUUGAUGGGGACGAACGUGCCUAAUGCGAAUAGUAUUAGGUAAUGACGGACCCAUCGAGGAGCCACGCA